CGAUGCUACUAAAGAGACUAAAAAGUAAAGGAGAAUUAAAAACUAGUCAAGAAAGACUUCAUCUACCACUGGAUCUUUUACAGACUGACCUGCUGCAGUUCAUAGGGUCACAGAGAUCCAGUUUGUAAAAGAUCCAGAAGAAUUUAAGAAAGGAAAAAGAUAUGAAAGUUUAUGGUAUUGUACCUGGAGGAAAAAGGAAAUCACAACACUGAACAUUCCUACUGACACACAACCUAGAAUCUUUGAUAAUUUUCUGAUCACUGGAAUUGGAUUGAUAAAAAUCAAUCAGUGGCAUACCAAUGCAUCAUCCAAUCAAGACUAAGAAAUCCUGGACUAAUAUGGGCCAAGUGCCCUUAUGAGAAGAUACAUGAGAGAGUUUCCUCUGUCUUCUCUCUGCCCUGUGAGGAUCUACAGAGGAGAAGGCCAUGUACAAGUCAGAACCCUCACCAGACAUUGCUGGCACCUUGAUCUUGGGCUUCUCAGCCUCCAGAACGACUAGCAGUGACUGUUGGCUGUUUAAGCUGCCGAGUGUGCAGGGUUUCUCACAGCAGCCCACGGUGUCCUUUGCUGCAUCCUUCAGUGUCGUUUUGCAAAGUCUCCUUUCCACAAAGCAGGGUCGGACCUGGCAGGACAGGGAUGAUGAUGGUGGUCAUCUGGUUACUGUUGUGCUUUUGCAUUCUGGGAGCAGAAUUCCCUCCAGUAAAGUACUCUAGAGGAGAUGGCAACAGAUGCCCAGCAGUUGGGGUGCCAGCUCAAGCCAUGUGGCUCAGAGUUUCAGAGAACCAUGCCGUAAAGGUGGGACAUGUUGUGGACCAGGAGAGCUAGCCCAGAUGAAUUCCUGCUCGGCGCUUGCCAGUAGCUCUGCGAAUUAACAGCAGUCCAGUUCUGCUUGAAAGUGAAGA